rnacentral:rRNA from 1 species
AGCGAACGCUGGCGGCAGGCCUAACACAUGCAAGUCGAGCGCUCGUAGCAAUACGAGAGCGGCAGACGGGAGAGUAACACGUGGGAACGUACCCUUCAGUUCGGAACAACCAAGGGAAACUUUGGCUAAUACCGGAUACGUCCGUAAGGAGAAAGAUUUAUCGCUGAAGGAUCGGCCCGCGUCUGAUUAGCUAGUUGGUGAGGUAACGGCUCACCAAGGCGACGAUCAGUAGCUGGUCUGAGAGGAUGAUCAGCCUCACUGGGACUGAGACACGGCC